rnacentral:lncRNA from 1 species
AAAACUUAAGAUAUUUUUAUAAAUUCAAUCACAAUGCCACAUGCAAGUUAAGAACAUAAGGCGGUAAUAGCAAUGCAAACCUGUUUGCAAUUGAAUUGCAACCUUGAAUUGGAAAGUCGGAUUGAGUUGGGCGGAGGUAACCUUGGUGCAGAUGAGUUUCCUUCAGGGUUUCCUUUAGGGUUGCUCUGGAUUCUCUGGGUUGGCCUCCAGGGUUUGCUGUCUGUGAGUGUUUUC